UAUAGGGGAAAGUGGGGUAAACGCGAACGCGGGGUAAACCCGAACCCAAUAGUUUUAAUAUGUUAGAAAGAUAUAGCCGUAUAUCACUCUCCGGUAACUCAAAGAUCACGCCACCACCAGUGCCAGUCAACGACACGGGAGACGCGGACGCAUGUACUUUUCAAGAUGCCCCGUAAUUAUAAAAGAAAAACUGAAACUAAAUUCAGUUGAGAGGAUCUCAAAAAUAUAUAGUCGAUGUUCAAACCAACAAACUCAGCACUGGCAGAGCAGCAAAUACUUAUAAUGUUCCAAAAACUACAAUUUGCCUUAGUAAUGUUAGUACGUAAUUACCCCACUUGAUGUUCGGCUUUACCCGACAUCAGUCGGGUAAAGCCGAACACUAAGGGUUUUGUUUUUUGGUCAUUUUGUUUUAUUUUAUUUAAAAAAAUAAUGAUGUUGAUUGGUAAUACGUUAGCUAGAUAAGUAAAGUUUAUAAUUCAAUAAUUAAAGAAACUCUGUGAUUUGA